AUUGAACGCUGGCGGCAUGAUUUACACAUGCAAGUCGAACGGUAACAGGCCGCAAGGUGCUGACGAGUGGCGAACGGGUGAGUAAUGCAUCGGAACGUGCCCAGUCGUGGGGGAUAACUACUCGAAAGAGUAGCUAAUACCGCAUACGAUCUAUGGAUGAAAGCGGGGGACCGUAGGGCCUCGCGCGAUUGGAGCGGCCGAUGUCAGAUUAGGUAGUUGGUGGGGUAAAGGCUCACCAAGCCAACGAUCUGUAGCUGGUCUGAGAGGACGACCAGCCACACUGGGACUGAGACACGGCCCAGACUCCUACGGGAGGCAGCAGUGGGGAAUUUUGGACAAUGGGCGCAAGCCUGAUCCAGCAAUGCCGCGUGCAGGAAGAAGGCCUUCGGGUUGUAAACUGCUUUUGUACGGAACGAAACGGCUCUGGUUAAUACCCGGGGCUAAUGACGGUACCGUAAGAAUAAGCACCGGCUAACUACGUG
rnacentral:rRNA from 1 species